GACGAACGCUGGCGGCGUGCCUAAUACAUGCAAGUUGAGCGAUGAAGAUUGGUGCUUGCACCAAUUUGCAGAGCAGCGAACGGGUGAGUAACGCGUAGGGAAUCUGCCUUUGAGCGGGGGACAACAUUUGGAAACGAAUGCUAAUACCGCAUAACAACUUUAAACAUAAGUUUUAAGUUUGAAAGAUGCAAUUGCAUCACUCAAAGAUGAUCCCGCGUUGUAUUAGCUAGUUGGUGAGGUAAAGGCUCACCAAGGCGAUGAUACAUAGCCGACCUGAGAGGGUGAUCGGCCACAUUGGGACUGAGACACGGCCCAAACUCCUACGGGAGGCAGCAGUAGGGAAUCUUCGGCAAUGGACGAAAGUCUGACCGAGCAACGCCGCGUGAGUGAAGAAGGUUUUCGGAUCGUAAAACUCUGUUGGUAGAGAAGAACGUUGGUGAGAGUGGAAAGCUCAUCAAGUGACGGUAACUACCCAGAAAGGGACGGCUAACUACGUG
rnacentral:rRNA from 1 species